rfam:Schistosoma curassoni strain Dakar, Senegal genome assembly, scaffold: SCTD_contig0002693
AUACAGCUAACGAGUCUCAAAUAGGACGAAACACGCAUCCUGGAU